AUGCUGCUGUGGUUUGCCGUGCUGUGCUGUCAGCCAAAGAGAGGACAGCUGCCACCGAGAAAACCGCUGAGACUCCUGACUACCGAUGACAGGGCACACUACCCCAGCACUGUAACCGAAUACAGCUGUACAAGGUUCCGAUGGAGAGAGGACUCCCUCACUCACACUGAGGCCGAUGUCAAACACCUGUUCAGCCAAUAUGAGAAAGUGACGGUUACACAAAUGGAGUUAGGUGGACACCACCACCGCUCCAAACAGUUCCCGGGAGCUUUGCUUAGAGCCGCUGCUGCUGCCAGAAUGUUUAACAUUGUUAUGUCCAGUGUCAAUGCAGCGAACCAGACUGUAAACUCCUCGAAACCACUGUUUACUGUCUUCCAGAAGGACUUUACCCAGACUCAGCUGUUUACAGCGUUAACAACAGACAUGCUGUGGGAGGUUAGCUCCUCCAAAGACAGCCUAACCACGAGUAAAACCCCACCAUACAUGAUACCCUUAAGCCUUGUGUUAACUGUGCUGUCUUACACCAUCACCAUGCCAGCUGACCUGCUACGAAUGCACCUGGCCAACUCUCUGGAUAGCGCCGUCCUACGGCACGCAAACCCCAAACAGGGAGAAGUGAACGUGCUCCUGAACCAACUCAUCAGCGAGUCAAACCAAGUCUACAGACCUAAAGACAUUGUCAGUGUCAGGAUGUGGAAGAGCAACACCCACACCAAAACACACAUUCCAAAUGUGGUGGCCUACCACGACAGCAACACACAGCUGUACCUGGCCCCAAACAUGCACAUGUGUACUUUAACCAAAGACAUUCAUUAUCUCUGCCUUAGCAAACCCUUCCUCAGACACAACUCUGAAGGAAUCUGCGAGCUGCAACCCUGGGUCAGCGAUACGCGCUGCCCUGCCGAAGCCAAGCCUCGUACACAAGUCACAGAAACGCAAGCAGAGAUUGUGGGUAACAGAUGGCUCGUCAACACUCCUGUGCGCUCAGCUAUGCUGACCUACGACCAGCAUGACACCGCCACCCGUGCCAACCUGCUGGACCAAGUACUGAAAGGUACCACCCAACACAUUGACAUUACUCCUGUCGAUACAGCCCUCCAAGCACUGUCUCGACAGCCCAUUCUGAACCAGUCAUCUGCGGUCCUAGCCUGGACUGCUGCCGACACUGCACGGUGCAUCUCCACCGUCAUUGGUCCCGCCCUUACUCUUGGCGUGACCUUCAUCCUAUACAGGAUACUCAACGAGAUGCAAACCUCUACAGCCAAACUCACGACAACUGUGGCUGGAGGUCUCCGAUGGAAUCCCCGGAAAAGGGACGCAAAGUCAAAGACAAUACCGAACCUCACCAAGCUGAAUCCUCAGCUUCAGGAACCACCUGUCAUCAUGACCCACCUGCUGCAUGACCAUCACGAUUCACCUGUCAUCUGCCCAUCCGGAUGAUUGCCGUCCGAUGAUGUCCACACAGGGACUUCAUCUGACGUAAAGGGGGAGAUGUAACAGAUAUGCAGGUCAGCGAUUCAUGGGUUAAAUUCUGUUUUAUAAAUUCAGACUGUUGGUACUAAAUGCCAGCCUGGCUGGACUUAAAUUACUUUACGAUACCCAUGCGAGCCUCAAAGGAUACCUGAAACCCCCCCCAAAUUCCUCCAACACACUGGAGACAAAGGAAACCUUUUUGUAUAAGUUCCUUACUUUCAUUUUAUUAUUAAUAUGUAUUUUAAUUAUGUUUUUGGAUUGCAUAAAAUGGUUAAUCCUUGUUAUGUGAAGAGUAUAAGUUGCAAGCUCAUACUUUAGGAAAUGUCUCUCCUCACUUUAACUUUCUCAAAAGGAAAUGUUCUGCAACCCCCACACUCCUUGGUAGCUCGUAAAAUUUUACGACCACACAGGACAGGAGAGAAGCCAAGUCACUGGCUUCUUUUGAACAAUGCAUUCUAUGGAAUGUAUUCAUUAACUCUCUGUUUUCAUGUUUUAUAAAUGUAUUACGUAUUUCCUUUUGGUACAUUUAGAUGUUUCCCAACAUCUGCAGUGUUAUCAUGUGUUAAACAAAUCUUUAAAUGUGUAAUUCGAUCUAAAAAUUAGAUCUUUGGUCAUAUAUAUAUUAUGUCUAGUCUUGUUCUAAUCGUCAUGCUUUGACAGACCCAUUUAUCUAGAGCAAAGUAAUGAAAAAUGUAUUUAAUCUGGAAUAAUGAACUUGCUUUAAUAUUCCUGAUGAAAUCGGACAGGCCCUAAAUCAUCAGGGGGUUGUCUCAACCGAGACAAAGGAACUUUCCCUCCGCUUCAGAUCGCGGACAUUCAUUGGAUGCUCCCUCGAAAAUGGGCGUGAACUAUUUCAAGCUAUAAGAAUUGACCAAACAAGGUCCACCCUCUCUUCUUGCGCUCUUCUUGCUCUUCUUCCCGUUCUCCGUUCUCGGGCCGCGCUCAGUUCUCCUCCCCCCUCAGCACACGGACUGAGGAGAGGAAAGCCAUUUUCAUGGCUCAUUUGGAAACUUUCAUUUUCGUUGUUUUCUUUUCUUUUCUUUACUAAGUUUAUUCAACUAUUCGCCUCUCCACACAAUGAAGACGAAUUCUGGAACAUUGUUUGUUGAACCUUUCAAAUACCGCGCGAAGAUGAACAAACACCUCUUUGCAACAAAGGAACACGUGACUCCACGCUCACGCCAAGAUCCAGCGCAGCUUGCGCGCGCGUCACACGGCCUCCGGCCCACGCGCGCAGUUUUCAAAGGACCACGUGACAUCACACGUGCGUCGCCGGUACCACGCUCACCCACUGGGCCAUGCAAGUAUCGUUUUCUAUGGAGAUUUAAAUGCUGCUUUAAAGUGUUGCUAUUAUUUGAUUCGUUGUUGGUUCCACUAAGGUUUACUGACUGAUUUUCAUACCUGAGCUCAUUCUGUGAUCUCUCUCGCUUUCUACACUUCUCUCUCUCUCUCUCUCUCUCGCUCUCUCUCUCUCUCUCUCUCUCUCUCUCUCUCUCUCUUUUAUUUGGAUUCCGUUAUGUCUUGUAAAUGUUUAUUGUCUGUAUUUUCGUAUGCAUAUUUACUCUGUGUGAUUUGUAGUUUGAUGUAUUACUAGUUGAAUUAUUAAAAACCCAUAUAUAAAAUGAUUGGCCUGGACUCCACCCCACUCACAUUACGAGUCACUGAGAUGUCUGAUCUUUAGCUACAAGCUCUAAAUUUAGAAACUAAAUUUAUCAUAAGGAUAGGAUAAUAUUUUCAUGGCCAGAGAAUACUUUUCCUUGAAUUAUAAGGCGUGAUAACUUUAUUGAAAAUUGAUAGGUCUACAGUGGUGUGCUG
ensembl:lncRNA